rnacentral:rRNA from 2 species
GCAUAUCAAUAAGCGGAGGAAAAGAAAAUAACAAUGAUUUCCCUAGUAACGGCGAGUGAAGAGGAAAGAGCUCAAAGUUGGAACCUGUUUGGCCUAGCUAAACCGGAUUGUAGACUGUAGAAGUGUUUUCCAGGCAAGCCGAGUAAAUAAGUCCUUUGGAACAGGGCAUCAUAGAGGGUGAGAAUCCCGUCUUUGGCUUGAGCAUUUGCCUUUUGUGAUACGCUUUCAAAGAGUCAGGUUGUUUGGGAAUGCAGCCUAAAUUGGGUGGUAAAUCUCACCUAAAGCUAAAUAUUGGCGAGAAACCGAUAGCGAACAAGUACCGUGAGGGAAAGAUGAAAAGAACUUUGAAAAGAGAGUUAAACAGUAUGUGAAAUUGUUAAAAGGGAACCGUUUGGAGCCAGACUGGCUUGUCUGUAAUCAAUCUAGGCUUCGGCCUGGAUGCACUUGCAGGCUAUGCCUGCCAACGACAAUUUGACUUGAGGGAAAAAACUAGGGGAAAUGUGGCCCACUUGUGGGUGUUAUAGUCCCUUAGAAAAUACCUUGGGUUGGAUUGAGGAACGCAGCGAAUGCUUUUUGGCGAGUUUUCCAGGAAGGUUUUCUGAGGUACUACGGUAUCAAGGUUGAUCUUUUUGGUUAUACUUCUAUUCGCUUAGGUUGUUGGCUUAAUGACUCUAAAUGACCCGUCUUGAAACACGGACC